ACUCAGCAGUCUCAGCCAGGGCCCCAAGGGUUUGCAUCCCACCCAAGCUCCCAGGUAGUCUGGCCCUCUGAAGAACUGCCGCACUGUGUGAAGCACUUUCCAUCUCUGGGUAGGAAGCCCCGCAUUGUCGGAGGGGUGUUCCGGUGUGCAUUGCUCUGCUUCGGCGGACGAGAGUCUUCAGAAUGUCUUUAGUGAACAUCCAACACACGCGUCUGUAGCGGUCACUUCUGAGGUUGACAUGGCGCAUCCUGAGAAGAGAGGGUACAGUUAGGAAUGGAGAACAUGAGGAGUUGUCCGGAGGAGAGGGUCCCCGAGUUGAACUGGAAGAGAAGGAUUCGAAAGGAGAUGUGUGAGUUGGCAGAGGCGGGUGUGGCUGCUGUUCGAUGGAGGUGUGCGGGGAAAAGAAUGGUCCUAAACAAAGUCAGAAGGGGACCAGGAAACAAGGUAACAACAGAGUCAGGCCAAGCUACAGGGGAGGGGAUGCUGCUAUACAUGAUAAGGCUGACAGCUAAGUGCAAGUGUAUCCUUAGGAAUGAAGUCAAUGUCCUAGGAGUCCAUCUAGAGUGGAAAGAAUGCCCCAGGGUGCCUCCGGCCAUUCUCUGUGUCCUCCUUCCCCCCAAAUGACAUUCCUCAUCAGCAUCAGCUCGUGGUCUCUCACAUAGUUAGGGAGAACUUGGCAGGCUCUAUUUGCCUCGGACGGUCGAACCUGCAGCACCCUCUGCCCCACGGACACCUGGAAAAUAAAAUGGGUGAUGCAGGACUGUGACAGCCUUGAGACAGCUCCUGCUAGACAAAGAUCCAUGUAUUAACCACUGGUAAAUAGCGCCUUUUGUUGUGCCCCAAAGGUCAAGCGCUGAAUGGGUCACAGGACAGGCACAUUUUCCCGAUGGAGCUGAGGGAGUUUGGGAAGUCUGCGCACAAUGGGGAGCGCAACACACCCUGUUUUCCACUCCCUUUCAGCGCGCAGCAGCGACAAGCAACACUUUAUUCCAUGUUCUUACUUUCUAAAAAGUAUUUAACUGUAGGAGUGGCUCAGUGGCUUCUUUCUGUUUCGCACUGUGUAGCAACCCCAGCGAUAAAAGGACAGAGCAGAAUAGAGGUUGUUUGUUCAGAGGGCAGUUGGAGUUGCACUGUUUCGUGGUUGGAGAAUGGGUAUCACGGGGGCCGAGGAAGACCAAAAGGCAAAACAAAAAUCAAGAGCCUGCGGCUUGUUUCGCGUGCUGUAAUGGUGACAGGGCAGGCUAAUGUCGCGCCGUGUUGACGGGCAGGUGCUGAUGUGAUCUCAUUUUGAAACUGCACUGUUCUCAGUGUCUUGAGGAGCAGGAAUGGAGGGGACUCCUUUGAGCUCCCUGCUUUAAAUGCAGACAACACCACCGGAAAAUAUGUUUGUGAGAAUAGGGCACUUAAAACAACAAUAACAACAGCAUCAACCAGGUGGUUAUUUACAAUUGUCAGUUCUGGUUAGGAAGAUGGAGUUUCAGUGUAGGAAGUGGGGAGUCUAUAUUUCGAUGGCUUGGGAGGGACGCUGAUGAUGGAAAAGAUAACUUUUAUUUAUAGCUAAACAUGUAGGGCACAUAUGGAGGGCAUAAGCCAGGCUUCGUGCCCCCGUAAGAAUGACAUGCAAAUAGUUGAACAAGCGAUGGGGAAUGUUCUUAGAGAUGCUGGCAUGCAGGAGGCAGGCGACGACCUCCCCGAGGCAGUUCCCAGUUCCCAGUUAGUUGAACUGCGUUUAGCACUUUGAAUGUUGACUCUUCUCUGAUUAUCUGAGCAAUCUGCUUCAGGAUUAAAGGCAUUCAAAAGUCCUCUCCUCGCUCAUCCCUUUGAAAUGAUCCUGCCCCUGAUUCUACGUCUCGUUCUUCUUCAGGUCAGAACCAGACAGGUGUGUACUUCCUAUAUGCUCACGGAUGGCAUCUUCCUGGUUAAAGAACUCAGUUCAUGCCUGAGGAGCAGCUAACCCUUCACGGAGGGCCACGGCAAAGGGCAGUUAUGUAAGACACAUUUACAUUUCACACAGAUAUCUGCUACUUGGUGGACGCUGGCCAGCAGCAGACGGGGAUCAUGCAGAAUUUUGAUAAAACACCUCCAGUGUGAUUUCAACUUCUAGACGGUAGGAGCUUCGUUCUUUUGCUUUAUUUAUUGCCACCAUUAUACACACAAAAAGGAGCACAAUCAGAGGCAAGACGUUCAAGGCAGGAAGGAAGGCCAGCUUUGCUGGAGCGAGCACGAUCUUCUGAAGCCAGGUUUGGGAUUGCCUUUGAAGCCUUGCUCCUUGGGCCUGAGCCCACCCUUGGCCUUGGCGGCAACGGCAGCUACUGUUACAGGGUGUUCUUUGUGCACAGGGAAAGCUCUGCUGGGCCUGGCAGGACGAAGGGACAUGAGAAGACAUCGGGCCCUUGCCCGGGGUUGGGGUGUGUGUGGGGUGGGGGGAGCUCACCAGCUGGGUGAGGAACUCUCCUCGGGCUGCUCUUCAUACAGGACAGAUGAACCGGCACCCGUGGGAACUCACGCCACUCGUGAACGCCAGCCUCACUGUCCCCUUGUUGGCGUCCUUUUGCCGUCCACUGGAUGUGUGCUCUGAGAGAACUCUGCCCCACUUGUUUUCACUGGGUGCCCGAGGGAAAAGCCAUAAGGAUGUGUGUGGAUGGCUACCUGGCUCAGAGAGAGUUCGAUUCAGAUUUGGGUUUUUCUGCUUUGAAUGCCGUUUUUGGAAAUACUCUUUAAUGGUGAAUGGAAAGAGUCUCUUGAACAGUCACAGCCCCUGUUACUCGGAAAUAAAAGCCUUCUUUAGGUCAGGACAAGCAUACAGGAAUCAAAUAAAGGCUUGCUCUAGGUCCUUCACCAGCACACCAAAGGCAUGAACCCUGUCGGCUCUUUCUGGCACGACUAAGGUAAUGAACAAUCCCACCCUAGGAAGGGAGCUCCCUUCACCUUCGUUAACUCUGACACGUCACAGCGAGGAGACAAGAUCGCAUGGCUGGGAACAGGGUCAUCGGAGAAGACGACCAAGGCAUUGCCUGCCCACCUCCCCCUUUGGGCCUGCAAUGGCCAGUCAGGCGAUGCCUCACGCACUCUGUGAGGGUCGGGAGAAGAAGGUGAGGGGUGAAGGGAUGGCGAGAAGGCUCACUGGCCACCAAUCCCCUGGUGACCUGAGUUCAGUUCCUGGGAUCUGCAUGAUGCAAAGAGAGAACUGACUUCCAUAAGCUGUCCUCUGACCUCCACGUGUGCCACGGCACACAUUUACCUUCACACGUCAAAAAACUAAAACUGAAAAUAAAAAUAAGCAUAACAAAAAUGCUAAAAGAAAACAAGAACAAAAUUCUGGAUGAGGGCAGAUGGCGAUGAUGCCUAGACUCUUGUUCCCAAUCUCUCCUUGCCCAACUUGCCAACUUGUAGAAAUUUCUGGAUUUAUAUAACUCAAGCCUAAUAACGAAGGAGAUUGGUGUUGCCUUCCAAGCACCGGGUAGCCCUUUAAGUAAAUGAAGAAAUCAGAAGUAUGCCAGGGAUAAAGAGAGGCGUAAGCACGCAGAACUGAGCUGGCCUUCACCCUGGGCAGCACCAGUCACAGAGGCAAACUGGCAAGCUCGCGCACAGCAGAGGCUGAAUGGCAGCUGCAAUGUGAGCUUCGAAAUACAGAGUGCUUGAACGUGACUCCAGGCCAAACCCAGAUCGAAGCUUUCCCCAGGGAGGGCGUGUUCAUCAACAUGAAGCAAACUGCCAGAGUGCCCUCGAACACCGAGGCCCCGGGUGGCAUACUCGGCCUCCAGCAAGGACUCCCGUCUGCGGUGGCUGGGUGAGCUUGCUGAAGUAACGCGGAGCGGAAUUUAAAACACACCAACAGAAGGAAUGAGGUUGAUUCUGGGUCAGAAAAGGAACUCAAAAGUCCCUGCGACCUGUCUGGAUGUGGUGGCGUGCCCCUGUAAUUCCCACGCUCAAGAAAUAGAGGGGGAGGCAGCAGGAUUAUGAGUUCAAGGCCCGUCUAGGCAAUAGGGAAAUCCAAUAAAAGAAAAAGGCAAAGACUUGUGAUUUCACUUCUUUGUUUGUUUGUUUGUUUGUUUCUCAUGGCGUCAGUCACAGUUAAAGGAGCUGCCCUCCUCCUUUAGUGGCUUGAGGUGACGUCAUCAGGGCCCAGGUGCAGGCCUCUGCAGGUAAGCUGGGCAGAUUUUGUAGCAAAUGUCACUAUCAGAGAUGUUUCUUUUGGACACCGAACCACUGUAGAGUUUCUGCUCUAUGCAGGUUCUAAGUGAUACUUUGCUCCGGGCUUGCUGGAUUUAGCACUGGAAGAUUGAGAAGGCCAGAACGGCAAUUUCCUGUUUGUGAUAACCGCUGCUUAAGGGGGAUCAAGUUCAGUGAAGUAAAACCCAAUUUUUAAAAAGAAGUUUAUUUAAAUAACUCCCAAUAUUAAAAAAUGCCAGUCUAAUAAUAAUAAGAUAAUGUGAUGUUUAUGAAUUUAGAAAAGGUGGGUUUUGAGUCAUUUUUCCUUUCUUUUGAGAUGGGAUCUCAUUAUAUUGCCUAGGAUAUUAUUUAUUAUUUAAAAUAGUUUAUUAAUUCUUUGAGAAUUUCAUUCAGUGGACUUUGAUCAUAUUUAUCCCUCCCCUUCUAGCUCCUCUCAGGUCCAUCCUCUUCCCUACCUACCUUAUUUUAUGUCCUUUUUAAAACACACACACACACACUCACACACUCACACAUGCACACACUUGCAUGUGCAGACUCCUCAGUUAGGGAUAGGACUUCUUGUCUACCUCCCAGCUCUACACUGGGAGUUUCUCCUUAUCCAUUGUAUGAAGUGGGCCUUAAAUCCAAUCAGAAAGUGGAUUAAUUAAUUAAUUGAUUGAUUGAUUAAUUCCCUGACAUUUGCACCACCACCGCACCAGUGGGCAUGUCCUGCCAGGGCAGUCAUUCCUGCGGCUUGCAGGACUCACAGACGGAUAAGGCUGAUACAGACUUUCUCCUCCAGGAGCAUGUACAGCGCCUUUCAGCACUAUGGAAAAAGUGGCCAACAGAGACGAAGCAUCCUGAGUGAGAAGAUGUCCUUCUCUGGAGUUUGGAUAAUUAUGGGGGAGAUCACUGUGAGUCCUGGUCUGACCUCUGAAGGUGGGGGAUACAGAAGCAAGGAAGUGCCCGGGGAACUGGGGCACUUGGAAGGGACUGAUCUUUACCCCUUUAAUUAUGGCUAUGUGUCACCCCUUUGGGAAUUCUCGAUGCUUCUGUGCCAGAGGCCACACCCAGGCACCGCUUCUUCCACAGACUUUGCAUCCCGUUGGAGACUGUACCCUGAAGGAUGACUCUGCAACGGAUAUUUCCAAAGUCUUGGUUUGUGGUGUGUGAACCAAAGCUGUGAUAGUUUUGCAACCAAAAACUUUUAAUAACCAAAGCAGCUGGCAUGCUGGAGAUGCCCAAGGGCUUAAAUCCUUCAAUCUUCUCAGAUCUUGUUGACAUUAAUGAAUUCACAAGGUCUCUUUCCUCUGAAGAUGAAAGCUUUGAAGCACACCCUGGGUGCCCAGCUGGGUGUCCCAUUCUUCGUCUCCCUGACUCUGAAGCUGGGUGUCCCACUCUCUGCCUCUCCCUGACACUGAAGCUGGGUGUCCCACUCUCUGCCUCUCCCUGACACUGAAGCUGGGUGUCCCACUCUCUGUCUCUCCCUGACUCCGAAGCUGGGGACUAAAGCAGGAGACUGCUGAGUGUGUGCUGAGUAGUCGCCAGUCACUUGUGGAACCGAAACUACCAUGGGUCUUGGCCAACAGCCAGUUCAAUACCUAAAUCUUCCUCCCCUAGACAACAGAUGUUUCUAAACAACUGUCAUUUCCCGACAGCAGCAUAGGCUUAAUUCUCGAAGUUCUGGUGUAUGGGAGAGGGCACUAGGCCCGAGCAACACAGUCUCGGAAAAUGCCUCAGUAAUUGGGGACAUAGGGAGAAUCUGAGAGGAGUUCUGGAGAAGGGAAAACAUGAUCAGAAUGUAUUGUAUGAAAAUUUUUUUUUCAAUUAAAAAUAAAAUUAUCAGUAACUUUGCAGCUGUUUACUCCAGAGAAGGCUGCUUUUUUUUCAACCUUACUCACUGCCUGUGUUUAAAAAGGGAUGGACCUUUGUCUUUUCAUCCUAAUACUGCUCUUUACAUUUCAGCAGAAUUUUGGAGAAGCACUGUGAAAUGGCCAUUAUUCAACAGACAGCCCCUAUGUUCACAACAGCAUACAGUUCUUCAAAGUAAUUCACAAAUACCGCCAACAUCAAGUUCAGUUUUUAAAUCAAGUUCUGAGAAAACUUGAAGGGAACAAAUGUUUAGAAAAUUAAUUCUAGUUAAGCAAAAGAACACUGUCAAAAUCAAAUUAUUUGUUGACACAAUACCAAAUGUUAUUCGAGUCCAUGGUUUCAAUGUCCGUAUGGCUUAUUGGUCCUUAAUAUAGCAUAUUUCUUUUUUACAUGUCCACUUGAAAAUUGUUUGGUCAAGACAAGAAAAAAGGCAAAUUGGAGUCUUCGUUGAUUAAUGACUGUUUUCAUGUAGACGUCAUACUGAGAAAAACAUGGGUGAAUUCACCAGUUUAUCCCUGUCUGGGAUAAAGAUAUCUAGAGAGUCUGUCGCCAGUGAGGGGAGCAGAGUCCAA